GUGAAACAUCUCAGUACCCUUAGGAAAAGAAAUCAAUUGAGAUUCCCUUAGUAGCGGCGAGCGAACGGGGAUCAGCCCAUUAAGUUAUGUGUGUUUUAGUGGAACGCUCUGGGAAGUGCGAACGUAGAGGGUGAUAUUCCCGUACACGAAAGGGCACACAUAAUGAUGACGAGUAGGGCGAGGCACGUGAAACCUUGUCUGAAUAUGGGGGGACCAUCCUCCAAGGCUAAAUACUCCUGACUGACCGAUAGUGAACCAGUACCGUGAGGGAAAGGCGAAAAGAACCCCUGUGAGGGGAGUGAAAUAGAUCCUGAAACCGCAUGCAUACAAGCAGUGGGAGCCGACUUGUUCGGUGACUGCGUACCUUUUGUAUAAUGGGUCAGCGACUUAUAUUCAGUAGCGAGGUUAACCGUAUAGGGGAGCCGUAGAGAAAUCGAGUCUUAAUAGGGCGUUUAGUUGCUGGGUAUAGACCCGAAACCAGGCGAUCUAUCCAUGAGCAGGUUGAAGGUUGGGUAACACUAACUGGAGGACCGAACCCACUGUCGUUGAAAAGCCAGGGGAUGACUUGUGGAUAGGGGUGAAAGGCUAAUCAAGCCUGGUGAUAGCUGGUUCUCCCCGAAAGCUAUUUAGGUAGCGCCUCGGACGAAUACCAUAGGGGGUAGAGCACUGUUUCGGCUAGGGGGUCAUCCCGACUUACCAAACCGAUGCAAACUCCGAAUACCUAUGAGUACUAUCCGGGAGACAGACUGCGGGUGCUAACGUCCGUAGUCAAGAGGAAAACAAUCCAGACCGCCAGCUAAAGGCCCCAAAAUCAUAGUUAAGUGGGAAACGAUGUGGGAAGGCAUAGACAGCUAGGAGGUUGGCUUAGAAGCAGCCACCCUUUAAAGAAAGCGUAAUAGCUCACUAGUCGAGUCGGCCUGCGCGGAAGAUGUAACGGGGCUAAAACUAUGUGCCGAAGCUGCGGAUUUGACUUUUAGUCAAGUGGGUAGGGGGAGCGUUCUGUAGCCGAUGAAGGUGUUAUUGAG
rnacentral:rRNA from 1 species